rnacentral:lncRNA from 1 species
UCUUGAGCAUCGAAAGGUCUCCAUCAGAGCCAACUCUACUCAGAACUUGCUUGCAGAUUUUUCUUCGGGAGGAUGCGUCACUGCUUCAGCCUUAUCUGACCAUGGUCUAGAUUUCAGCGAUAAUAGAUUGACACUAGAAGAAGAGCCCGGACCUCAUUGUAAGAAAGAGUAUCAAACAAAGAUUAUGGCAUCACGAAGAGCGUCCACCCGAAGAUCUAGCACUGUUGCCGUCUCUCAGCCAGUGGAAAACACGAUGGGCCAGCAAGUUCUGACGCAGCCACAAUCGAAAGUUCAGCAACCACCUCCUCCAUAGAUGGCGACUGUCAGUACAAAACAGUUUCAUUUACUAUUCCAACAAGUUCAAACUUUGACCACUGCCGUCUAGACAAUGCAGCAACUGUACACUGUACCCUUGGCAAUGACACCUGCAAUGGCAGCUACAAUCACACUGCCACCAGCUAGCGUAGUAUCAAUGGUGGAUCCACCUUCAGUAAUUCUCCCACAACAGCCUGCGACAGCUUUGCAAGUGAGACCUCUGCUCCCUCCUCGAAGUCCUAAGCGAGGGAGACGGACUCAUUAUAGCCGACCUUGGACUCCAGGACCUAGAAGAUGAUGAUCACUAAGUCCUCAUUCUAGGUAAGAUUCAGGGCCCGAUCGACGAUCCCCUCAGCAACUUUUUUACUUCCUCGAACUUCAUC